GUGGACCUGCUCAUCUGUCACACAAAGAAAUGGAUACGCGGCCAGUGUGUUACGUCAAAGUGAUUCAGGGAUUGGACAUUGGAGUCAGAGAGGUCAGCAUUUGAAUCCUGAUGUCGCCACUCACAAGCUGGAUGAACUUGGACAACUCACUCAACCUCUCUGAGCCCUCAUUUCCUCAUCUGUAGAAUGGAGUUAAUAUCCUUGCCUCAGGGGCUUUCCUAAGACUGAAUGAGAUGAGACAAGUGUUUUCUGAAAUUGUCCACAAUAAACAUCUGUAAGGAUAUAACUCGCUCAUUGAACAGUCUGAACUCAGGGGUACAGGCAUGGAACUGCCUUUAAAAAAAAAUCCCAGCUGCACUGUGCGGUUCUUCUCAGUGCUUUGAUGUCAUCUUGGAAGAUCUAAAAACUUCCCAGUCCCCUAAAAGCAGCCUUAGAACUGAAUUCAAAUGACUCUGGCCCUUUUUGCACUUGCAAGGGCAAAAACAGAUGGUGGUUAAAAACAAAAUUUUUUUUUUCAACUUGAGGAUCCACUUCAUGAAGCAUCAUAUAACUUUUCUCCCCUACACUUGGGAAAAGAGCACUUAUUCGUGGGUUGGAAAAUUCCUUGGCUUGUCUCAAGAGCGUUCUGUGCGACUGCAUUGGUGCUGCUGCCACCUGGGUGAGGAAGAGGGCAGGCGAGGGCGUGGCCCGCUCACUGGAGCUGUCCUGUGCUGCACUGCUCCGGCACCAGGGAGGCCCAGUCAGAAGGCCGGGGGGUCCAGUUUUACUCGUCAGCGCACGAAUAUCCAG